UACAUUUUUAUAAAAAAAUAAGUUGUCUGUGUUUGUUCAAAGCUUUUAUCAAAAAAAAAAUUAUUCAAAGUAAAUUUUAAAACUAAAAUGUUUAUGUAUUUUAUAUAGUUUAAUUUAAAAUGAUAUAUAUAUAUAUAUAUAUAUUUUAAUAUUAAUAAUUAAUAAAUGAGACUUUCUACUAUAUGAUUUUCUAAUCAUUUGUGUCUUGUCAUAACAAAAAUUUAAAACCAUUGAUCACAAAAUUUGAAUGCGAGACUUUUAAAGGUUUUAAUAAUAUAGAGUCAUUUUAAAAAAUUCAAAUAUAACAUAUACAUAAACAUCUAAAUUUUUAUUAUAUGGUUAAUGUGGUUGUUUAAUUUAUUUUAAUAGUUUAAAAUUAAACAAAUAUGAUAGAAAAUACACUAAUUUUUAUCAAAUCUUUAUUAUUCAAAAUUAUUAAAUGUCAUAUGCACUUUUGCCACAUUAAGAAAUUUCGUAAAUUUUAUUUAAGGAGAUAAUAAAGAACAUAAAUAAUGAAUUUGUUGUUAGUUUAAUAAAAACAUAUGAACCAAUUUAUUUCUCUAAGAAUUCUAAUAAUCAUUCAAGUGAUGACACGUGAUUACAAAAAUUGUUGUAAUGCUUCUUAAUAAAUAUAUAAGGGAUAAGUAACGGCUUAAUAAGAUGAGACUAUUCAAUGUUCUAUCUUUUGUUUUCUUUUUCUUUUUGUAAUUUUGUCGAAAAUCAACAUGUUCAUUCUCUACCAAUUCAACUUUUGAAUCCUAGUAAUCGAAUUUAGGGAUCUUUAAUCAAACAAUAAAUAGUGUUUAGGGGUCCAAAAGUUUCGUUUAUUGAAGUGUUUAAGCUGAAUGCCGAAAGGGGGAAAUACAAAGAAGGUGAAUUCGUCAUCAGAAUGACUAACUCGUCAUCAAUAUCAGUUUCUCUCUCGGUAUUCUCUAUGUUCUUCCUGUCCUUCUCUCGCUCCCUUUUUAUAGACUCAUCUCCGUGUCGAUUCCAUCUUCUCUCAUCAUUACUUCUCUGGUUCAAAACAAUGUUCAGUGGAGCUGUUGACAGCUACAUUCGGCUUCGUAGUAAGGUGCAACGUCUCUCUCUUUCCUGACACUCGGUUGCGUGUGUUAGGUCGUCCUGACGGGUGGGUAAAUCGAUUGACUCUCUAUUAGUUGGGCUUUUGUUGGGUCGUCUUUUUUUUUACGUCCGUUAUUUUACUGAGAUAAGUCAAUUCCUUGAUGAUAAUUUGGGCCUACAUAGAACAAUGAAGUUAGUUGUUGUUGAAACUAGUAAGAAAGAAGUAAGAAUCUGAAAUAGUCUACAAGUUCAUUCAGAUUAAAAACACCGAAAAUAUUGAUUUGAUAGUGUACAUAUUGAUAAGCUAUUACUGAAGGUGAUUGGUUAGGUUGUCUUUAUACAUUUAAUUUGUAUAUUCAACCAUUAAAUUAAUAAUAAGGGUUUAUUUAGUUUUUAAAGAUAUAAAAAUAGCUGUAAGAAACUUAUUUUCUAAAGCAAUAUUUAAGCUGUACAAAAUAUAACGGUAACUAUAUAUAUAUAUAUCUUUUAAUUCUUACAAUUACAUCAGAUACAUAAUACAUAUACAUCAGGAAAUCAUAAAGACUAAAUUCUAUGAUAAAAUUUCUAAAGUCCACAUUAAUUAACAGACUCGUGCUAAUAUGCAUGUGUUGCUAAUGUGAAAUUUAGGUAUGGGCAUGAUUGAUUUAAACAUUGCGAUUAUAGUUGUGAAUGAAUGAUUUUACAUAUACAUAUAUUUGCCGUUUUAAGCAUUACUAAACGAUUUGACAAAAAAACAAGCAUAUGUGUCAGUUAGUAAUAGCGAUUUAAUAAUAAAUUAAUAAUAUUCAACACAUUAUAAAAUUAUAGAAAUAACAAAUUCAUAUUAUUAUAAUAGUUAUUGAUUUAAUAUAAUUAAUAAUAAUAUUAUAUUGAUUUUAAGAUGUAAGUUAAAACUUUUUAAUGAAGAAUUUGUUUUUUUUAUGAAGACGAAUAUUAUUUUUCAAAAAUAUUUCAUUUGCUGUCUAUAUAUGUAGAUAUAUAAAUAUUAGUACAUAAAUAAAAUUUUAUGGAAAAUUUUAAUUUAAUUUUCUUAUAAAUAUAAUUAUUAUAUUGGUUGGUUAGUGAAUAUCUAUUAUAAAAUAAAAUACAUUCAUACAGUUAUUAUUGUUAUAUAUAAUUAUAUAAGGUAAUGAUAACGGUGGUGGUGGUGGGUACGUCUCAUGUAAAGAUGUCAAUGUAGACCGUAAUCCGCAUGUUAUGUCCAAAUAACCCAGUAGCGGAGUGGAUCUAAAUCUUUAUAUAUAAAGAAGGGUUUGUAUCUCUCCCAGGCUAUCCACGUCAGCUGACAGGUCAUAAAUUCGUAUGAUACUGUUGCAACACGUGUCCUCCUGCAACGAAAUUCUGCGUUUCAUUAAUUCUCAAAUCAGAUAGGCUUGGCAAUUGGAUGGGCUUAUUUCUACAAAACUUAAUUUUUUAUGGGCCGUGUAUUCGAGAAUGGUCUAUUGUCCGCAACUCCAAAUGUCAUCAUCGUCUCCUCGCAUACCCUAUCUUUCAGAGACUCUUAGAAAACGCCUCAUUCAAUUGAUCUAAUAAAGCUUCAUAACUGCGACAACAAACUUUUCGCCUCUCACUAAAGGAUGCAGUAACCCCACCGUCUUUGCGUUUCUCAGAAUCGUACCUAUAAAUAUGGAUGUCGACUUCCAUGGCUCUCACCACUGCAAUCUACAUUCCAUUCUUCACUAUUUCUCUCUCUGGAAUUCUGUUUACAGCAAAAGACAUUCACAAUUCCUACUCUUUCAAUUGCAACACGACCGAGAAAGUAAUGACCCGUUCUGGGAAGCGCAAAAAGUAAAAAAAAAAUGGAAAAGCUAAUCAGCGCCGCCAUGCUCACGAACGACAAGAUGAAGUUUGGGCUGAGUUAGUGACGUAACCGUUGCCAACCAACACGCCACUGAGACAUCGCUGGCGAUGUCUUCGUUGUUUCCGAACAGGGACGAGAGGAGAGAGAGGUAUAUCUGAUGGCCGUUGCUGCCGAGAGGUGGGAACCAGUGGAUCGCCGGCGGAGACGGAGUGGAUUGUGCGGCUGUGUAGAGUUUGUUUAGAACUACGCCGUUAAAGAUUGAGAGGACAGAAGACGAUAAGAUUUGAGUGGACGACAUGUUCUCUUUAAUUUGAUUUUGUUUAAGGAUAUUUCAGAAAAAGCUCUUAAAUAAAAACGUAAACAAAUCAACUUAUGUGCCAUUUACAUUACGAUUGAGUCUUAUAUUGUGUAAGUUAUGCGAGAGAGAUAAAAAAGCCCAUUUCCAGGUUUAUAUCUAGAUAACUAUAUAUAGUGUUUUAAAAUUGAGAUUUAAUUAUUUUAAUCAA